rnacentral:lncRNA from 1 species
AUUUUAUAAUUUGUUAUGUUGAAGUAUUGUAAAGAUAUAAAAAGAAGCAGUUUCAAAGCUUACCUUAACAUGCUUAAUAUCAGAAUUAAAUCUUUCAUGUUUUUAAUAUAAGUAGAUUAGGUAAUCUGAUUCAGUUUAUAUAACAUGUAUAAUGUCCAUUACUAGGAAUCUCUAAAGGGAUUAGUUUGAUAUAAUUUAAUUUUGGAUGUAACA